GACAGAGGGUGCAAACGUUGUUCGGAAUUACUGGGCGUAAAGCGUGUGUAGGCGGCUAUGUAAGUCGGAUGUGAAAGCCCCAGGCUCAACCUGGGAAGUGCACUCGAUACUGCGUAGCUUGAGUAUCGGAGAGGUUGGUGGAAUUCUCGGUGUAGAGGUGAAAUCCGUAGAUAUCGAGAGGAACACCGGUGGCGAAGGCGGCCAACUGGACGAAUACUGACGCUGAGACACGAAAGCGUGGGGAGCAAACAGG
rnacentral:rRNA from 1 species